rnacentral:rRNA from 1 species
UGGGGAAUAUUGCACAAUGGGGGAAACCCUGAUGCAGCGACGCCGCGUGAAGGAAGAAGUAUUUCGGUAUGUAAACUUCUAUCAGCAGGGAAGAAAAUGACGGUACCUGACUAAGAAGCCCCGGCUAACUACGUGCCAGCAGCCGCGGUAAUACGUAGGGGGCAAGCGUUAUCCGGAUUUACUGGGUGUAAAGGGAGCGUAGACGGAGCGGCAAGUCUGGAGUGAAAACCCGGGGCUUAACCCUGGGACUGCUUUGGAAACUGUCGUUCUUGAGUGCCGGAGGGGUAAGCGGAAUUCCUAGUGUAGCGGUGAAAUGCGUAGAUAUUAGGAGGAACACCAGUGGCGAAGGCGGCUUACUGGACGGCAACUGACGUUGAGGCUCGAAAGCGUGGGGAGCAAACA